rnacentral:lncRNA from 1 species
UGUUAAAGAGAGUGAUUAACAUGGAUGAAAGUUUGAUUUACUCUUUGUUUAUGCUUAGUUGUGGUUAUAACUUAUGAAUUCACAUGCAAUCAUAAAAGAAAAAAAUCAGUUUUUGUAACAUGCUUGAAGGAAGGAACUCAAACUAACGCUACAACCUUGUGAGACUUGAGCCUAAACGUUUAUUUGGAGAGUUAAAAUCUGUGCAUUCUUUGUUUUCUAAAGUCGUUGCAUGAUCUCAUUAUUCUUUGCUUGGUUGCUACUUAGAAGGCGUUUCAUCAUUUAGUUCCAAAUGCUAGAACUCAUGCCCAUUUCAUUCAAAGCAUGUUAUUGAUUUGCAUAACACAUAUUCAAGAUGAAGUUGUGUAGUUACCACCACCCUAGCCAAAAAGCCAUGAAUCCCCUAUGUCAUUAUAUGUUUUGUAGGUUUUUAACCCCGUUGAGCCUUGUUUAGCCUUUUCUUUGUUAACCCACAUUACCCUCACCUAGCCUAGAUUAGGACCAUCCAUACCCUUGUUCUUAAAGCAUAGUAAAGCAUGAUUCAAAUUGAAUUCCUUUUGAUUUAUGUUGGCAGAAAACAAGUGUGGGGGAAGUGUUUUUCAUGAGGAAUUGUGUGCCAUAGGCACGGCAAAGAAAAGAAAAAAAAAAAAAAAAAAAUUUCGUGGAAAAAGAAAAAUUGAAGAAA